rnacentral:piRNA from 1 species
UUUUUCAAAUUUUUAUUGAAA